UUGUCUGUUGUGAAGGUUCUACAAAAUACAACUUGGUUUGGACUCACUGGUUUGAAAGACCUUUACCAAUCAUCGGACAACCGUAGUACAACAUCCAAGCAAGUAGUUGCCCCACAGUGCACUUCGAUCAAACAUCGCGUUCAUGGCUCAAAAGGAUGAGGGAUGUGUCCAUUGAUACAUAUACCUCUGCAGUGAUUCCAAGGAAGAACAUGAAAACUACGUGAAGAAAACGACACCAAAACAGUGCUCGCUGGUGACUCCAUAAUGCAUUUCGAUCAAAGAUGGUGCUUGUGAGAAUUUAUAGUUAACAAUGGGGACUUCACUCAACAGAACGCGACUCAGUUUGGAAACAACGAAACCGAGAAGGGCCCGGGGCAAGAACGUUGCCACGAGGUCGUGAGACAGGCGCGCUGGAUAUGAAAUGAUAUAGGCAGUACAGGGACCUUGCUAUAGGAAAAUAUUGGAUUAAUGCCCGGCAUCGUUUUGUUAUUAACACACAUUUGGAUCACAUCCAAGCAAAGAUGAAAAUACUACAGGAUAAAGAGCUAGCUGAAGAAAUCAAAACUCUUCACCACCUGCUCAUGUUAUGAUGGUUGGUGGAGACUUUCACAUUGACAAUAGUGGUCCAAAUCUUGGCGACAGCAGUGAAGAAUAUCUGAGUUCCUCAACUCCAUGAAUCAAACUGCUCUGCGGUCAGUAUCUCCGUUGCGAGUGGAGACUAACUUUGACAGUGGAACUUUUAACGCUAUAUUUAAGAGCUCUAAUGUCGAAACAGUCAAGAAACGAGUAAUUAAACUUGUAACAGCAAGUGGAGAGAUGGCUUAAGAUCAUUACGGACUUCAUGCAAUUUAAGUCAAGCUCCUUUAAAUAAUGCUCUUUACAGCCUAUAAUUAUGUCAUUUUCAGCCGGCCAUGUUCCACAGAGAUAUUCUUUGAGUUGUAGUACUCUAAAACACUCUUGGAGACCCAGCAACAGUUAGUCGAGGCAGGAAGAACAAAAUCAACAAGCAAAAUCAGGACUGAUACAUUUCCCGUAACGACCUCACUCUCGGUUAUUAAGUAGUUAGUAAUUGGCUAAAUAUCGUAAAGUUUUAAAUGACAUUCAGAUUAAAAUAAUUUAGCAAAUACUGUAUGAACUUUUCAUUUUCUGUGUUUGUGCAUUUUCCAGAAAUGAAAGUAGUU